AGCAGUCGCCGCGGUAAUACGAAGGGGGCUAGCGUUGUUCGGAUUUACUGGGCGUAAAGGGCGCGUAGGCGGACUGAUAAGUCAGGGGUGAAAUCCUAAGGCUCAACCUUGAACUGCCUUUGAUACUGUUUGUCUUGAGUUCGAGAGAGGUAAGUGGAACUGCGAGUGUAGAGGUGAAAUUCGUAGAUAUUCGCAAGAACACCAGUGGCGAAGGCGGCUUACUGGCUCGAAACUGACGCUGAGGCGCGAAAGCGUGGGGAGCAAACAGGAUUAGAUACCCCUGUAGUCCCUGUCUCUUAUACA
rnacentral:rRNA from 1 species